GGGUGGUAGCGGCUGUUUUGGGUACUCCUGCAGAUGUGAUCAAAACCCGAAUAAUGAAUCAACCAAGAGAUGAACAUGGAAGGGGUUUGCUGUAUAAAUCAUCCACUGACUGCCUGUUUCAGGCAAUUCAAGGUGAAGGGUUUCUGUCUCUAUACAAAGGUUUUGUACCAACAUGGAUGCGAAUGGCUCCUUGGUCCCUGGUCUUCUGGCUCACCUUUGAACAAAUCAGAAGAAUUACUGGAAUUACUUCAUUUUAAGAAUGUGUAAUAUAGCCUGUGAUUAUCCAGUAGGCUAUUAAGCCUUCUACGGGACUUUGGUGUCAAUACGGUUAUUGUACUGGCGGCCAAAGACUAUUCCAAAUGAGUUCCUGAUAUUAGCCUAGUGCCAGAUGCAUCAAGGGGCAAAUGAAAAUAAAAAA